UUAUGUACAUGUCUACAAUGUUAAUUCAUCGGAUCCCGUCAUAACUCCAUAGUUAAGUACGUUUGGGAUAGAGUAGUACUAGGAUGGAUGAUCUCCCAAGAAGUCCUAGUGUUUUACAUGCC
rnacentral:rRNA from 1 species